rnacentral:lncRNA from 1 species
UUAAGGAUCUGGUGUUUCUGUGGGCUGUGGUGUAGGUCACAGACUCAGCUCAGAUCUGGCGUUGCUGUGGCUGUGGCGUAGGCCGGCAGCUGCGGCUCUGAUUAGACCCCUAGCCUGGGAACAUCCAUAUACCACAGGUGCAGCCAUUUAAAAAAAGCAAAAAAUAAAAAUAAAUGUAUUGUUUGGCCCUGCCUUGGAGAUUGAUUGGGUGGGUCUGGAGCUAGGAUUUGUACUUUUAACAUAUAUUUCAGGAGACUCCUAUGAUCACAUGUAUUUGGAGACUCUUGCACUGGAUCAUACCCCAUUGUAUGCCCCAAAUACUUGGUCCUGAGGCUUCCUUGGGUGUAGAAAUUUUUUUCUUCAAAUGUCUUGUGAAGUCACUCUUAUUCCCUUGGGGCUGGCAAUGGUGAAGCCCCCUGCAGUGUGGCUGUGACAGUGGGGACUGUCUCACCAGGGUCCAGGAGUAAGAAGACUGCGAGGCAGAAAAGAAUGCAAGGAGCACUCCUCAGGAGGCUUCCAGAUGUUUCCGGUCCUAGAAUAGAGAUCUGUUGUGACAAUCUCAGAUCUGACAACAAGAAUUACAGGUAAUUGUCUCAUUCCCUUGAUGUCAUUCUGAGCAAAACUUAUUUCAAGAAUAGAAAGAAAAGAGCCCAUUGGGGAAAUGGCAAAAAUAAAUUGUUUUUUUUUUUUUUUGAAGCAUUCAAAUUAUCAGCCUGGGAAGUCAACAAUUACUUCCAUCUCAAGACCCAAAGUGGGAUGGGCAGGAAUAGUAAAAUCUAUGUUACAGGUCCUUCCAACAUCCGAUGUAAAUGCUGCCAGAAUCUUACAGUAACUUGAAAUUGAUUUAUAAGAUUUAGAGAUUCAAAUCUGCUAAAAUAGGGGCCGAGGUACUUAAAGAGAAAAGUGCCUAGUGUUUUCCUGCCAGAAUCCUUCCUCCUCCUCACCUGGGAAGCUGAUCAAUGAAGCUCAAAGUUAAGGAGCUUUUAACACCAGAGUGGAGGAAGGAUAGUGUUGAGCUGCUUUAAGUAGAAGAACCCUGAGCUUUAUCACUGCCUGAGGGUGAUAAGAACAACGUGUGUCAUUUUAUGGCAUCUUACUAUUUACAGACUACUUAAACAUGCAUUAUCUCAUCUGAUCCUCACAAUAAGCCCUUUGGUAAGAGGGUGGAUAUGAUGGUCCCAUCAAGCAGAAUAUAAAACCGAGCCUGAAAAAAAGCCUGAUUUGCCUGCAGACAAAUGAUUAUUUAUUUAUUAUUUAUUUAUUUAUUGUCUCUUUAGAACCAAACCUACGGCAUGUGGAGGUUCCCAGGAUAGGGGUCGAAUUGGAACUGUAGCCGCUGGCCUAUGCCACAGCCACGGCCAUGCCAGAUCUGAGCCACACUUGCAAACUACACCACAGCUCACAGCAUGCCAGAUGCUUAACCUGAGCGAGGCCAGGAUACUAGUCAGGUAUCCUGCGUCUUCAUGGAUACAAGUCAGGUUCAUUUCCACUGAGCCAUGGUGGGAACGCCCAAAUGAUUAUUUAAAUUAUAGAGCCAGGCCCUAUAAUGACUGUCUGUUUAGGGUUCUUUGCAAUUUCUACAAUACCUGUGGGACUAGAAUCAGCCAAACAUUUGGGGAGAAGAGUCCUUGACGAGAUGAUGACUCAAGGCAUCACUAGGGUGUAGCUAUGGAGACAGACACUGGUCACUUCCUCUUCCUAAGCACUGGUCCUUACACGCGGCUCUGAGAGGGGGUCAGCUCUGCUCAAGGGGAGUUUCAUUUUCAUUAGCUGUGCUGUGCGGGGCUUUGAUAAAAAUGUGCUUCAGGUUUUAGAAUCCAGAGUUCCUGUUGUGGCUUGUCGGUGACGAGCCCUACUAGUAUCCAUGAAGAUGCAGGUUCUAUCUGGCCCCACUCAGUGGGUUAAGGAUCCGGCACCACCAUGAGCUGCACUGUAGGUCGAAGAUGCAGCUUGGAUCUGGCGUUGCUGUGGCUGGCAGCUGCAGCUCUGAUUCGACCCCUAGCCUGGAAACUUCCAUAUGCCACGGGUGUGGCCUUAAAAAGAAAAAAGAAAGAUUUUAAAAUCUUUCCUGAAGAGGAAUUUCUGAGCCAAAUUAGACUUGCAUGUAGACUUGGAAUUCCAGGGCUUGGAGGUGACCUGCCUGGAGCGAACCAUCUGGCAUCUUCCCUGCAUAAGGGGAUUUUAGGUAGAACUCAGAGGAUGGUUCUCAGGGGGGGCAUAUAUAGAGGGAGCCAAAAUAGCAGUUUAGUUAAAAGUUUUGUUGAGAUCUCUCAGUGGGGCUGGACACAGGUCAAUGUGGUCUGGCCCACUUCUUCGGGGGGUGGGGGGAGGCUGUGCUGAAUGAGACACAAAUAGCUUGCCUCUCAUCUUGGCUUUGAGAAAAGCUACUCCAUUAUCAAAGGUAUUAGACACUAUCCAAUGAGAAUUUUCCUUGUGGGACUAAACGAAAAGGGAAUAGGAGGAGCCACAGGACAAAGAAGGGUCAGAAAGCAGCUUCAUGAGAGUCCCCUGACCAGUGGUUUUUGUGCCUUGUCUGUGGCAUCAAAACUGAAAUGUUUUUGUAUUACUGUUGCCCAUGAUUUUCUUCAGUGUCUAACAUACAAGGUGGAUUCGGUUGUAACGUUUGAGCUAAAUAAAACAUUUUCACCUACAUUUGUUAUCAAGAACUCAUGAUUUUACACAACUAUGUUUAAUCAUGAUCUGACAUUAAACGACCUCAGUAGAAAAAGAAACCAUACAAUACAUGACCUCCUCAGAUUGUUUUCAGUACUGUGAUGAGGAAUAAACUCCUCAUGGGACUAGAGGCAAUCCUGGCAGAGCAUAAUUUCUGUUUUUAUAGAUUUUAAUAAGCUAUGGCCUGGGUACAUUCUGUGGCCGCUCUGAUUACUCUCCACAGACUAACACUCAGGAGAUGAGGAACAGAAAAGGUAGUUGGAUAAUGAGAUGAGACUGAGCUCAUUUUCAAGAACACAGGCCUCUGCCUCCUAGAAGCGGCACGUGGGAAAGGAAGGAAGGAAACUAUUUGUGGGAAGACAUUUUACGUUCGGAAGAGAUUUGAAAAAUUCCACAGCAUCAUAAUUUAGAGGAGGCGACCUAAAACCUUUGUUAGCAAAGGAAGAGGUGAAUACCUCAGAGGACUCUUCAUCCUCUCUUUUGGCCAAGCCCUCCCAAGGGAAUUUCAGACUUUAGGGUCCUGGUUGAAUGGAAAUUUUGUCCUUGCUCGGAGUAUCUGGACUCAAUUUUCUCCUUUAACUAGUUAACUUUAACUUUUUCACAUGUGGAUUUAACUUAAAGAUAGACACUAACAGUUUAACUCUGUUUACCCCUUGUACCUUGCUGCUGUUUCAUCCGCUGUUUUAAUUCCAUCUUGCUUUGCAGCUUUAUAAAAUACAGUGUUUUUGGAGUUCCUGCUGUGUCUCAGUGGUAAUGAACCUGACGAGUAUCCAUGAGAAUGUGGAUUUAAUCCCUGGCCUUGAUCAGUGGGUUAAGGAUCUGGUGCUGCUGUGAGCUGUGGUGUAGGUCGCAGACAUGGCUUGGAUCUGGUUGUAGCUGUGGUGGUAAGCUGGCAGCUGCAGCUCAGAUUCAGGCUCUAUUCUGGGAACUUCCAUAUGCCAUGGGUACAGCCCUAAAAAAAACCGCAAAAACAUUUUUUUUUUUUUAAAAAAUAUGGUGUUUGGAGUUCCCAUUGUGGCUCAGUGUGUUAAGGACUUGACAUUGUCUCCAUGAGGAUGUGGGUUCAAUCCCUGGCCUUGCUCAGUGGAUUAAGGAUUUGGCAUUGCCCCAAGCGGAGGCGUGGGUCUCAGAUGCAGCUUUGACUUGAUCCCUAGCCUGGGAACUUGCAUAUGCUGAGGGUAGGGCUAUAAAAAGAAAAAAAAAUACAGAGUUUGACUUAUGUAGUCAAACCUACAUAUUUUUUUCUGCACAUAUUUUUAUCCUGCAUUUAAGAACUGCUUUUGAAAUCUCCUUUGUUUCUGAAGGAAGUUUUCUUUAGUGAUGGUCUAUUGGUAGGAUUAGUCUGUCAGUUUUUAUUUGUUUAAAACAAAAUCUUUACUUCAUUCUUGUUCUUGAAAGAUAAUUUCACUGAAUAUGCAAUUUUAAAUCAAUAGUUAUUUUCUCUCAGUGCACUGAAGGUAUUAUUCUACUUCCUUCUGGCUUUUAUUGCUGCUUUGGAUUUUUGGCCACACCUACAGCAUGUGGAAGUUCCUAGGCCAGCCACCAAACCCGAGCCACAGUGGUGACCCAUGCCGCUGCACUGACUAUGCUGGAUUCUUAACCCGCUGCACUAUAAGGGAACUCCUUAUUGUUUUUGAGAAGCCAAUCUCAAAAUCUAAUUUCCAAUCUAAUUAGCCUUCCUUCACACAUAAUCUGUCUUGUGUCUCUGGCUGUCUUUAAGAUUUCUCCUUGGAGUUCCUGCUGUGGCAAAGUGGCUUAAGAGUCUGACUGCAGCAGCGGCAUAGGUUCAGUCCCCAGCCCAGUACAGUGGGUUAAAGGAGCCAGUGUUGCCAAGUUUUGGUGUAAGUCACAGCUGCUGCUCAGAUUCAGUCCCCAGCCCAGAAACUUCCAUAUGUGUGGGCGCAUAAAUAAAUAAAUAAUUUUAAAUAAAGAUUUCUUCUUGUUUCUUGUUUCCUUUGGUUUAAUCAACAUGUGACUGUGGAUUUCUUUUUCUUUACUCACAGUGGGACCUGCUGUGCUUCCUAAAUGUGUAUAUUUUUCAUUAAUUAUGGAAAACUCUCCACUGUUAACAUAGCAGAUAUGUCUUCUCUUUAAACUCUCUUUUGAGAGUUCCAGUUGACUGUUUGUUAGACCUUUUCAUUCUAUUUUAGAUACUGCUUAACUCUAUCUUUUGUAUUUUUCCUCUUUUUAUCUUUCUGUGCUCUAUUCUGUGUAACUCCUUCAACUUUAUCUUCCGUUUCACUACUUUUCUCUUCGGUUGCCACUAAUCUCCUUUGAGUAUUACUUUUAAUAAAUAAUUUAAUAAGUUUUUUCU